GACGAACGCUGGCGGCGUGCCUAAUACAUGCAAGUAGAACGCACAGUUUAUACCGUAGCUUGCUCCACCAUAGACUGUGAGUUGCGAACGGGUGAGUAACGCGUAGGUAACCUGCCUGGUAGCGGGGGAUAACUAUUGGAAACGAUAGCUAAUACCGCAUAAUAUUAAUUAUUGCAUGAUAAUUAAUUGAAAGGUGCAAUUGCACCACUACCAGAUGGACCUGCGUUGUAUUAGCUAGUAGGUGAGGUAACGGCUCACCUAGGCGACGAUACAUAGCCGACCUGGGAGGGUGAUCGGCCACACUGGGACUGAGACACGGCCCAGACUCCUACGGGAGGCAGCAGUAGGGAAUCUUCGGCAAUAGACGAAAGUCUGACCGAGCAACGCCGCGUGAGUGAAGAAGGGUUUCGGAUCGUAAAGCUCUGUUGUAAGAGAAGAACGGGUGUGAGAGUGGAAAGUUCACACUGUGACGGUAUCUUACCAGAAAGGGACGGCUAACUACGUG
rnacentral:rRNA from 1 species